GGGGAGUAAGGGACUGGUGUCCCGCCUGGUCUGCAAAACCAGGUUUGAAUCCGGUAAGGAUUUAGGUGAGUUCGAUUCUUACUGCUCCCCUCCA
rnacentral:tRNA from 1 species